GACAUUCUGAGAUGUACGUUUUGAAUCGUAAAAUUCAACCGACAGUAAACAUCCGGGAGACUAAGUUUUUACUUGGACUACAUGCCACCGUCGAGUGGACUUAGGAAGAGUAAGGCAAGUCACCCACCUAGAGUGAGGUGCGGGUGUGAAUUUUGCAUCUGACGGCAUCUUGGAUUAAAA
rnacentral:other from 1 species